UUUGAACGCUGGCGGCAGGCCUAACACAUGCAAGUCGAGCGGAUGAAGGGAGCUUGCUCCUGGAUUCAGCGGCGGACGGGUGAGUAAUGCCUAGGAAUCUGCCUGGUAGUGGGGGAUAACGUCCGGAAACGGGCGCUAAUACCGCAUACGUCCUGAGGGAGAAAGUGGGGGAUCUUCGGACCUCACGCUAUCUGAUGAGCCUAGGUCGGAUUAGCUAGUUGGUGGGGUAAAGGCCUACCAAGGCGACGAUCCGUAACUGGUCUGAGAGGAUGAUCAGUCACACUGGAACUGAGACACGGUCCAGACUCCUACGGGAGGCAGCAGUGGGGAAUAUUGGACAAUGGGCGAAAGCCUGAUCCAGCCAUGCCGCGUGUGUGAAGAAGGUCUUCGGAUUGUAAAGCACUUUAAGUUGGGAGGAAGGGCAGUAAGUUAAUACCUUGCUGUUUUGACGUUACCAACAGAAUAAGCACCGGCUAACUUCGUG
rnacentral:rRNA from 1 species